rnacentral:rRNA from 1 species
CAGUAGCCGCGGGAAUACGGAGGGGGCUAGCGUUGUUCGGAAUUACCGGGCGUAAAGCGCACGUAGGCUGCUUUGUAAGUCAGAGGUGAAAUCCCGGGGCUCAACCUCGGAACUGCCUUUGAUACUGGCGACCUUGAGGAUGGGAGAGGUAAGCGGAACUCCGAGUGUAGAGGUGAAAUUCGUAGAUAUUCGGAAGAACACCAGUGGCGAAGGCGGCUUACUGGCCCAUUACUGACGCUGAGGCUCGAAAGCUAGGGGAGCAAAUGGGAUUAGAUACCCCCGUAGUCCCUGUCUCUUAUAC